CUGCGGCUCGGCGCCGCCCGACGGCCCCUAUUUAUCGUCGGGGAGGGCGGGCGGCCGCAGCCGCCAGGCGGGGACGGGGAGGGGCGCGGCGCUGAAGGACGGCCCCGCUUAGGUUCGGGCGGCUCUGCAGGGGGUUGGAGGCGAGGGGGCUGCAGUCGGGGCUUCCCGCUGCUCGUUUGUUCCUCCUCGGGUGGGUCUGGGGGAGGCAGGGUGCCCUCGGGUCUGUGUUGCCUCACGACUCCUUCAGGAUUAGCCCUAGGGCGCUGCGCGGCGCCAUUUUGUGCCUGGUGGCCUCCUCCCGCCCAAGCCCCCCUGAGGGAGGUGGCAGGGAGGUUGUCGGAAACCCCUGUCAUAGCCAGGGCCUGGGGAAGGCUGGGGUUAUCAGUGGGGCUGGGACGUUUGCAACACUCACCUGUACCUCAGAAAGCUUAGAAAACAUGUCUAAACAGCGGUUUUUUUUUUUUCCCCAUCUCGUUUGCAGUUGUCACAAGGUGUGUGUGCUCUUCAAGCUCCUGCUGUGCUCACUAGAGAGAGCAAAUGAGUGCAAAACCCCUCCUUCUCCUCCAGUAGCGUGUGCCAGGAAGAUGGGAAAGCAUGUCUGCAAACAGCCCUGCAAUGUUGAAUUUCAGUGUUAGUCAGAGCACCAGCAGGAGCUAGUCAAGCCUCCUAUGUUAAACACAAGAUGGGAUGGUAACAGUUAACCUCUGCAUUACUGCACCACGUUCUGUGACGCUACGGAGGCUGGCAGCUUUCAGUGGCACCUCACAAGUGCCUUCGCCAAACGCUGCAUUCAAGGCAGUGUUUGUGGACACCGAGUGCUUCUCCCACUGAGCCCAGAUUGCAGGAACGGAGACCACGUCCCCCGUGGGA